ACGAACGCUGGCGGCGUGCUUAACACCUGCAAGUCGAACGGAAAGGCCCUGCUUUUGUGGGGUGCUCGAGUGGCGAACGGGUGAGUAACACGUGAGUAACCUGCCCUUGACUUUGGGAUAACUUCAGGAAACUGGGGCUAAUACCGGAUAGGAGCUCCUGCCGCAUGGUGGGGGUUGGAAAGUUUCGGCGGUUGGGGAUGGACUCGCGGCUUAUCAGCUUGUUGGUGGGGUAGUGGCUUACCAGGGCUUUGACGGGUAGCCGACCUGAGAGGGUGACCGGCCACAUUGGGACUGAGAUACGGCCCAGACUCCUACGGGAGGCAGCAGUGGGGAAUAUUGCACAAUGGGCGGAAGCCUGAUGCAGCAACGCCGCGUGCGGGAUGACGGCCUUCGGGUUGUAAACCGCUUUCGCCUGUGACGAAGCGUGAGUGACGGUAAUGGGUAAAGAAGCACCGGCUAACUACGUG
rnacentral:rRNA from 1 species